UACGUAGGAUGCAAGCGUUGUCCGGAUUUACUGGGCGUAAAGCGCGCGCAGGCGGCACUCUAAGUACGUCGUGAAAUAUCCCGGCUCAACCGGGAGGGUGCGAUGUAGACUAGGGAGCUAGAGGUCGGUAGAGGGGGGGUGGAAUUGGCUGGUGUAGCGGUGAAAUGCGUAGAGAUCGGAAAAGAACACCAACGGCGAAAGCACUCUGCUGGGCCGACACUGACACUGAGAGACGAAAGCUAGGGGAGCGAAUGGG
rnacentral:rRNA from 1 species